AGGAAAGUAAAGAAGGGCGCAUGGCGGAUGCCUUGGCUCUCGGAGGCGAUGAAGGACGUGAUAAGCUGCGAUAAGCUUUGGGGAGGUGCAAAUGACCUUUGAUCCAGAGAUUUCCGAAUGGGACAACCCAAUAUCUUGAAGAGGUAUUAUCCAACGUUGUUGGAGGCUAACGCAGGGAACUGAAACAUCUUAGUACCUGCAGGAAAAGAAAAUAAACAAUGAUUCCCCCAGUAGUGGCGAGCGAACGGGGAACAGCCCAAACCAUCCAUGUUACGGCAUGGGUGGGGUUGUAGGACUACGCCGUUGCAUGAAGACAUCAGAGAAGAACUUUCUGGAAAGAAAGACCAUAGAGCAUGACAGUUGCGUAUUCGAAUGUUGUCGAAGCAUAGUAGUAUCCUGAGUAGCGCGGAGCACGAGGAAUUCUGCGUGAAUCUGCCGGGACCAUCCGGUAAGGCUAAAUACUCCCGAGAGACCGAUAGCGAACCAGUACCGUGAGGGAAAGGUGAAAAGCACUUCGAACAGAAGAGUGAAAUAGUUCCUGAAACCGUGCGCCUACAAGCGGUCGGAGCUCGUUGAUGAGUGACGGCGUGCCUUUUGCAUAAUGAACCUACGAGUUGCCUUUGCCGGCAAGGUUAAGUGUGACGACACACGUAUCCGAAGCGAAAGCGAGUCUGAACAGGGCGUAUAGUCGGCAGUGGCAGACGCGAAACCAAGUGAUCUACCCUUGGCCAGGUUGAAGGCUGGGUAACACCAGCUGGAGGACCGCACCAAUAAGCGUUGAAAAGCUUCUGGAUGAGCUGAGGGUAGGGGUGAAAGGCUAAUCAAACUUGGAGAUAGCUCGUACUCCCCGAAAUGCAUUUAGGUGCAGCCUUGCGGGUUACUGAUGUGAGGUAGAGCGACUGAUAAGAUGCGAGGGCUUCACCGCCUAUCAAGUCUUGACAAACUCCGAAUGCGCAUCAGUUCUACCGCAGGAGUGAGGGCAUGGGUGCUAAGGUCCGUGCCCGAGAGGAGAAGAAUCCGGACCACCUGCUAAGGUCCCGAAAUGACAGCUAAGUUAAACUAACGAAGUCUGACUGCUAAGACAGCUAGGAUGUUGGCUUGGAAGCAGCCAUUCAUUUAAAGAGUGCGUAACAGCUCACUAGUCGAGGAGUCGGGCGUGGAUAAUAAUCGGGUAUCAAGUUGUCUACCGAAGCAGUGGGAUCAUUUAUAUGAUCGGUAGGGGAGCAUUCCAGUCGGCGUCGAAGGCGUACCGUGAGGUAUUCUGGAGCGUCUGGAAAAGCAAAUGUAGGUAUAAGUAACGAUAAAGGGGGCGGGAAACCCCCUCGCCGAAAGACUAAGGUUUCCUGAUCAACGCUAAUCGGAUCAGGGUCAGUCGGGUCCUAAGGCUCAGCCGAACGGCGAUGCCGAUGGCAGAAACGGUUAAUAUUCCGUUACUACCUUCAGGAGUGACGUGGAGACGCAGUAGUGACAGUGCCGCCAUCUGACGGAAUAGAUGGUUGAAGGGUGUAGGAGUCGAUCAUGGCAGGCAAAUCCACCAUGAGAUCCGAACCUGAUAGUAUGCCGCGUCCUUCGGGACAAGGCAAUAGUGCGCGUAAGCAUGCUGCCGAGAAAAUCCGCUAAACUUAAUCCUGCAGGUACCCGUACCGCAAACGGACACACGUAGUCGGGAUGAAUAUUCUAAGGCGCUUGAGUGAUUCACGGUUAAGGAACUAGGCAAACUGACCCUGUAACUUCGGGAUAAAGGGUCCCUACCCUUUUAUGGGAGGGCGCAGAGAAUCGGUCCAGGCAACUGUUUAACAAAAACACAGGGCUGUGCCAAAUCGAAAGAUCCAGUAUACAGCCUGACACCUGCCCGGUGCUGGAAGGUUAAGAGGAGAUGUCAUCGAUAAGAGAAGCGUUGAAUUGAAGCCCCAGUAAACGGCGGCCGUAACUAUAACGGUCCUAAGGUAGCGAAAUUCCUUGUCGGGUAAGUUCCGACCUGCACGAAUGGUGUAAUGAUCUGGACGCUGUCUCAACCGUGAGCUCAGUGAAAUUGUAGUAUCGGUGAAGAUGCCGAUUACCCGCGAUGGGACGAAAAGACCCCGUGAACCUUUACUAUAGCUUAUCAUUGAAUCUGGGCACGUGAUGUGUAGGAUAGGUCGGAGGCUUUGAAGCAGGUACGCCAGUAUUUGUGGAGCCGCUGUUGAAAUACGACCCUUUAUUUGUUUGGAUUCUAACCCGUGGAACGGGGACAUUGAUUGGUGGGUAGUUUGACUGGGGUGGUCGCCUCCAAAAGCGUAACGGAGGCUUCUAAAGGUGCCCUCCGGCCGAUUGGUAACCGGCCUUAGAGUGUAAUGGCAUAAGGGCGCUUGACUGGGAGACUAACAAGUCGAUCAGGUAGGAAACUAGAGCAUAGUGAUCCGGUGUUUCCGUAUGGAAGGGACAUCGCUCAAAGGAUAAAAGGUACUCCGGGGAUAACAGGCUGAUCCCUCCCAAGAGCUCAUAUCGACGGAGUGGUUUGGCACCUCGAUGUCGGCUCGUCACAUCCUGGGGCUGGAGAAGGUCCCAAGGGUUGGGCUGUUCGCCCAUUAAAGUGGCACGCGAGCUGGGUUCAGAACGUCGUGAGACAGUUCGGUCUCUAUCUAUCGUGGGCGUAUGAAAUUUGCGUGGCUCUGACACUAGUACGAGAGGACCGUGUUGGACAGACCUCUGGUUUGCCGGUUGUGCCGCCAGGUGCAUUGCCGGGUAUCUAAGUCUGGAUCGGAUAAGUGCUGAAAGCAUCUAAGUACGAAGCCGGCCACAAGAUUAGAUUUCUCAGGGUCGUUGUAGACUACGACGUUGAUAGGAUGCAGGUGUAAAGGUAGAGAUACCAAAGCCGAGCAUUACUAAUUGCCCGUUCACUUUCCUUA
rnacentral:rRNA from 1 species